rnacentral:rRNA from 1 species
GACGAACGCUGGCGGCGUGCUUAACACAUGCAAGUCGAACGGAAAGGCCCUGCUUUUGUGGGGUGCUCGAGUGGCGAACGGGUGAGUAACACGUGAGUAACCUGCCCUUGACUUUGGGAUAACUUCAGGAAACUGGGGCUAAUACCGGAUAGGAGCUCCUGCUGCAUGGUGGGGGUUGGAAAGUUUCGGCGGUUGGGGAUGGACUCGCGGCUUAUCAGCUUGUUGGUGGGGUAGUGGCUUACCAAGGCUUUGACGGGUAGCCGGCCUGAGAGGGUAACCGGCCACAUUGGGACUGAGAUAGGGCCCAGACUCCUACGGGAGGCAACAGUGGGGAAUAUUGCACAGUGGGCGGAAGCGUGAUGCAGCAACGCCGCGUGCGGGAUGACGGCCUUCGGGUUGUAAACCGCUUUCGCCUGAGACGAAGCGUGAAUGACGGUAAUGGGUAAAGAAGCACCGGCUAACUACGUG